rfam:Methanosphaera stadtmanae DSM 3091, complete genome.
GCCUUAGUGGCUCAGGGGUAGAGCGAUGCCUUGGUAAGGCAUAGGUCGAGGGUUCAAUUCCCCCCUAAGGCU